rnacentral:rRNA from 1 species
GACGAACCGUGCGAACGUUAUUCGGAAUCAUUGGGCUUAAAGGGCGCGUAGGCGGCGGUGUAAGUUGGAUGUGAAAUCCCAUCGGCUCAACCGUGGAAUUGCUCCCAGUACUGCACUGCUCGAGGGGGAUAGGGGUCUGCGGAACUACCGGUGGAGCGGUGAAAUGUGUUGAUAUCGGUGGGAACGCCAGUGGCGAAAGCGGCAGACUUGACCCUUCCUGACGCUGCAGCGCGAAAGCUAGGGGAGCAAACAGG